rnacentral:rRNA from 1 species
UGGGGAAUAUUGCACAAUGGGCGCAAGCCUGAUGCAGCGACGCCGCGUGCGGGAUGGAGGCCUUCGGGUUGUAAACCGCUUUUAUAGGGGGGCAAGCUAUGCCUGUGUGGUGUGGUGAGUGGACUUUAUGAAUAAGCACCGGCUAACUACGUGCCAGCAGCCGCGGUAAUACGUAGGGUGCAAGCGUUGUCCGGAUUUAUUGGGCGUAAAGGGCUCGUAGGCGGUUUGUUGCGUCUGGUGUGAAAGCUUACUGCUUAACGGUAGGUUGCGCUGGAUACGGGCAGGCUUGAGUGCAGUAGGGGAGACUGGAAUUCUCGGUGUAACGGUGGAAUGUGUAGAUAUCGGGAAGAACACCUAUGGCGAAGGCAGGUCUCUGGGCUGUUACUGACGCUGAGGAGCGAAAGCGUGGGGAGCGAACAGGAUUAGAUACCCUGGUAGUCCAUGCUGUAAACGGUGGACGCUGGAUGUGGGGCCCAUUUCCACGGGUUCUGUGUCGGAGCUAACGCGUUAAGCGUCCCGCCUGGGGAGUACGACCGCAAGGUUG